UGAGACUCUUAUUAAGAAAAAUAAGCAGUAUUUUUCUGAAAUUCUUAUUCUUUCUUUUUUUCCCAAUAUAAAAGGUUUUUUUUUCUUUUGCUAGUAUUGCAGAUUUUGUUUCACAUAGCAUUCUUUCUCUCUCUCUUUCGCUCCUUCUCUCUUUGUCUGAGAGCGGUCAGGGAUUAUUAUCAGUCUGUCAUCGGUCAGGGAUUAUUUGAUUUAACCUUCACAGUGGUUUUAGCAGAUAGGGAGCAUUAUCAUAACUGGUUUUGUUUUGACAACAGUUAGAGUAGCUGUAAAUUGGAUAAUGUAAAUAUUGGCCAAGGUCACACAUUUAGUAAGUGGUGCAGUUGAGAUUGCAAUCUGGUCUGUCUGACUCUAGAGUAACGGAACUCUUAACUGCUAUGCCGCACUGCAUCCCCUUAUAAUUUAGGGAGCCCAGUGUUGGUGAACGGUAGGACCUAUCACCAGCUCCCUCAUAGUCCAAUUAGAUGAUCAAAUAUCCUUUUCAAAUAUUCAGGCACAGAGAAUUGGGCAAAUUAUAAUUAUAUAUGUAGGGAGAAUGUAUAUGAAUAUGCUUUACACGUCUAUAUAAUUUAAUGAAAUUCAUCCAGGUAUGUUCAUUUGGGGCAAUAUCCUUGUGAGGCAUUGUGGAAAUAAACUAAUGAUUUCAAACAGAAAGGAAAAGAAAAACGGGAUGGUAGGAGUUCUGUUAGACAGGUAUUCUGUCCUUUCCCCUACCUACUAACUUAAUGCAACUUUGCAAAUCUAUAGUAGGUUUUCUUUAGGACUACACUGCUCUGAUCCUUUGUUUAUGUUUUUCUCUCAUCCAUUGUGGAUUCUAAUGCCCUCAGUACUGAAUAAUAAACACAAGUCUGAUGGUAGGGGCUACCUAAUGAACUCUACACCCUAUAUCUGCAUUUGUAUAUUUUUUCUUAAUUUAUGUUAGCUUCUUUGGUCUAAAGGUAGGAACUUAAACUUCCUAAUAUUUAUUUUCACUUGCAUUAAUGAUCUUUUGUUUAGAAUUAUUUAUGUACUCAUAAUAUUGCUCCUUAAUGUAUUCUCAAAUGUGUUACUUGGAAUCUUUCUUACAGAACUUUGGCAUGUUUCUAUGUUUAUACUUCUGGGUUUUUUUUUUAAUUCUUUAAUUAUCUAAAUUUUUAAUAUCUGAUUUAUUUAAUUUUGUAUAUAACUUUUAUUCUCAUCAAUGUUUACCUGGAAUAGUACAGGGACAAAUUCCAAUAUUCUUACUUAUCACAGCAUAUUACUUGGCAAGUCCUCAGAUUUAUCAGUAUUAUAUUUGAAGAUAAAGAACUAUCUAAUAAAACAGAAUAAAGACAUUCAAAAGUUAAAUUUUAAAAAUUUCAUCAGUGGAUUUUAAUUGGGAAAUAUGCAUGUUUCAAUAAACACUAUAAAUUGUUUCUGGAACCUGUGCAUCUUUCUUCUGCCAAAUUGCAUUUGGAACAUUUUUAUGAAAUUAAUUGUUCAACCUUGUUAAUGAGUAUUCUUUUUGCAGCUCAUCAUAA
rnacentral:lncRNA from 1 species